rnacentral:rRNA from 1 species
UCGGUAAGGUGAUAUGAACCGUUAUAACCGGCGAUUUCCGAAUGGGGAAACCCAGUGUGAUUCGUCACACUAUCAUUAACUGAAUCCAUAGGUUAAUGAGGCGAACCGGGGGAACUGAAACAUCUAAGUACCCCGAGGAAAAGAAAUCAACCGAGAUUCCCCCAGUAGCGGCGAGCGAACGGGGAGCAGCCCAGAGCCUGAAUCAGUGUGUGUGUUAGUGGAAGCGUCUGGAAAGGCGCGCGAUACAGGGUGACAGCCCCGUACACAAAAAUGCACAUACUGUGAGCUCGAUGAGUAGGGCGGGACACGUGGUAUCCUGUCUGAAUAUGGGGGGACCAUCCUCCAAGGCUAAAUACUCCUGACUGACCGAUAGUGAACCAGUACCGUGAGGGAAAGGCGAAAAGAACCCCGGCGAGGGGAGUGAAAAAGAACCUGAAACCGUGUACGUACAAGCAGUGGGAGCCUCUUUUAUGGGGUGACUGCGUACCUUUUGUAUAAUGGGUCAGCGACUUAUAUUCUGUAGCAAGGUUAACCGAAUAGGGGAGCCGAAGGGAAACCGAGUCUUAACCGGGCGUUAAGUUGCAGGGUAUAGACCCGAAACCCGGUGAUCUAGCCAUGGGCAGGUUGAAGGUUGGGUAACACUAACUGGAGGACCGAACCGACUAAUGUUGAAAAAUUAGCGGAUGACUUGUGGCUGGGGGUGAAAGGCCAAUCAAACCGGGAGAUAGCUGGUUCUCCCCGAAAGCUAUUUAGGUAGCGCCUCGUGAAUUCAUCUCCGGGGGUAGAGCACUGUUUCGGCAAGGGGGUCAUCCCGACUUACCAACCCGAUGCAAACUGCGAAUACCGGAGAAUGUUAUCACGGGAGACACACGGCGGGUGCUAACGUCCGUCGUGAAGAGGGAAACAACCCAGACCGCCAGCUAAGGUCCCAAAGUCAUGGUUAAGUGGGAAACGAUGUGGGAAGGCCCAGACAGCCAGGAUGUUGGCUUAGAAGCAGCCAUCAUUUAAAGAAAGCGUAAUAGCUCACUGGUCGAGUCGGCCUGCGCGGAAGAUGUAACGGGGCUAAACCAUGCACCGAAGCUGCGGCAGCGACACUGUGUGUUGUUGGGUAGGGGAGCGU